AUUAAGUUAGUUUAUUGAUUAAAAUACCAGUCUGUGGAACCGGAGAUAAGAACUGUUCUUACUUAAUU
rnacentral:tRNA from 1 species